rnacentral:lncRNA from 1 species
GGGCGAGCGGCAAGCUACGGGCAGCGGCGGACGGACUCUCAGAUAGCAUCGGCAGCGGCUAUGUUUCACUUCUUCCGAAAGCCUGCAGAAUCCAAAAAGCCCUCCGUGCCGGAACCGGAAGCCGAUGGAUUUGUCCUCUUAGUAACUAACUGACUUGCCUGAGCUUGCCUGGACUUUGCCUGUUCUUACGCAUAGUCUUCUGAACUGCCAAUUUGAAGCCUGUCAAAGAAUCAGCCUAGCCUUCUCAAUAGUUUAAGGGAAAAUAAAGAAAAAACCCUGAAAACAUUAAA